AACCGUGGCGGCGGCUACACAUGCAAGUCGAGCGGUAGAGAGAAGCUUGCUUCUCUUGAGAGCGGCGGACGGGUGAGUAAUACCUAGGAAUCUGCCUGAUAGUGGGGGAUAACGUUCGGAAACGGACGCUAAUACCGCAUACGUCCUACGGGAGAAAGCAGGGGACCUUCGGGCCUUGCGCUAUCAGAUGAGCCUAGGUCGGAUUAGCUAGUUGGUGAGGUAAUGGCUCACCAAGGCUACGAUCCGUAACUGGUCUGAGAGGAUGAUCAGUCACACUGGAACUGAGACACGGUCCAGACUCCUACGGGAGGCAGCAGUGGGGAAUAUUGGACAAUGGGCGAAAGCCUGAUCCAGCCAUGCCGCGUGUGUGAAGAAGGUCUUCGGAUUGUAAAGCACUUUAAGUUGGGAGGAAGGGCAUUAACCUAAUACGUUAGUGUUUUGACGUUACCGACAGAAUAAGCACCGGCUAACUCUGUGCCAGCAGCCGCGGUAAUACAGAGGGUGCAAGCGUUAAUCGGAAUUACUGGGCGUAAAGCGCGCGUAGGUGGUUUGUUAAGUUGAAUGUGAAAUCCCCGGGCUCAACCUGGGAACUGCAUCCAAAACUGGCAAGCUAGAGUAUGGUAGAGGGUUAGUGGAAUUUCCUGGUGUAGCGGUGAAAUGCGUAGAUAUAGGAAGGAACACCAGGUGGCGAAGGCGACUACCUGGACUGAUACUGACACUG
rnacentral:rRNA from 1 species